rnacentral:rRNA from 1 species
UAGGGAAUCUUCGGCAAUGGGGGGAACCCUGACCGAGCAACGCCGCGUGAGUGAAGAAGGUUUUCGGAUCGUAAAGCUCUGUUGUUAAGGAAGAACGAGUGUGAGAAUGGAAAGUUCAUGCUGUGACGGUACUUAACCAGAAAGGGACGGCUAACUACGUGCCAGCAGCCGCGGUAAUACGUAGGUGGCAAGCGUUGUCCGGAAUUAUUGGGCGUAAAGCGCGCGCAGGUGGUUUAGAAAGUCUGAUGUGAAAGCCCACGGCUCAACCGUGGAGGGUCAUUGGAAACUAAUAAACUUGAGUGCAGGAGAGAAAAGUGGACUUCCUAGUGUAGCGGUGAAAUGCGUAGAGAUUAGGAGGAACACCGGUGGCGAAAGCGGCUUUUUGGCCUGCAACUGACACUGAGGCGCGAAAGCGUGGGGAGCAAACAGG